rnacentral:rRNA from 1 species
CCCGGAGACGCUGUCGGGAGAUGUAGGCAGAGUUUUCUGUUCUGUAUGAGCGUUCGAGUUCCCUGGAAUUCUCUAGCAGUGAGAUAGGGUUUGGAACGCGUAGAGCAUUGCAUUUGCUGCAGUGUCUACAUCAUCCCCUCGGCCCUUGAAAAUCCGGGAGAGGGCCACGUGGAGGUCUCGCGCUAAAUCGUACCAAUAACCGCAGCUGGUCUCCAAGGUGUGAAGCCUCUGGUCAAUAGAAUAAUGUAGGUAAGGGAAGUCA